AACGCGCUCGAGAUUCUGCUUGACGACACUUCCGCUUCAAAAGAUCGAUGCUGAGUCGAGCGGGAGGUCUCGAGUUGGACAUCUCUACCUUAUCCCUGUCUGUUCUGUCUGCCUUGGUGUUGUACCCGCCUGUUACCGACCUUGCCUGCCUGACCACGAUCUGACGCUCGACGAUUCUGAACGUGGCUUUAACAUUGCUCUCACUUCCCCUCAAGCUUUGGAGAAGAGCCUUUCGCACAGCACUGAUGUCUGACUAUUGAAGAUAGUUUUUUGGAAUUGUGACUUUUAAAAAUGUAGUUCUGUAUAUUUUAAUUAGAGUUUUGACUUGUCAUGAAUAGAUUACAAAUGUAUGUAAUAUGAAACAUGUCUAUCUUAUAGAUGCUAAGCAUGCCAUGUUUACUGCCGUCCACCGUGUUUUGAUGUCAUUUUGAUUAGAAACUUUUAACUCCUACCUGGUUGGCUCCCACCUCUGUCAAUCACAUCAGCAGCGCUGCUAAUUGGUUCAAUUAGCUGCUCGUGUUUGUUUGCCCAGUUGCACCGUCGCAGCAAAAGCGAAAGUAAGAAAGUUUCACUAGCAAACUAGUGAGAGAAAGGACUGGUAAGCAAACCAAAUCCGCCUGUCUGGGUGUUAGACGCUACGUUUCACGGAAGGAUUCAACCUGUUGCCGGGGGUGAAGCGUUUUGCCGCUGCUGCAGUGCUAAAGUAGUGCAGCCCAUCAGGUGAGUCGAGGUAGAGGCAGAGACAGAUCCAGAUUGGGAAAAACUUUAUCUUCAUGAGGAUCAGCAACACAGACGUUGAGUAUAUAUGCAUAUGGGUGUGUGGUUUUCCUACAGCAAAAACAAAUACUAAGUAUUAAGAAAUUAUCAAUAAACAAUUAAAGUACAAGACAUGACUGAAGCCUAUUAAUAACAUAUAUGAAAGAUAUUCAACAUGACUUAUAGAAGCUCUAUUACACGGACACAUUGAGAACAAGCAACAGUCUUAGCGGUCGCAGCACCAAUAGUUAGGCUACAUGGCUAAAGGGUUAGUGUUCUAAACAUCCCAAAAACAAUCUACCAUUACCCACUAUAGAUAACUGAAAACUGGCGUCUCUGUACACAAACAUCAACACAAUAACUAUCCAGUAUAAACGACAUUACUUACUUUAUUAGAUGCACACUGCUAAAUACUCAGAAAUGUCCGUGUAAUGCAAAUGUGUCUCUCAAAACAAGUCUCCGCUGACACACGGAAGACAGAUCUAGAGCGCCACCUACUGGCCAAAACAAGAACCAACAGUACUAAACUAAAGUUAAACUACAAUCUUUUGUACAACAACCGAUGAUGUUAACCUACAGGGUACCGGUGGAAAUUGGACUACUGUUGGUCAAAGAAGGAGAGCAGGCAGAAGGGUUUGUAGACAGAGAGAGAGCCUAGAUCUGAGAAUAGGGACUCUUAACAUUGGUGCAAUGACAGGGAAUGUGGUGUGUUCUACCAUGGUGUGUAUAGGAAGAGAAACAAGAAACGGGGUAGAAGUGAUCCUGAAGGGGAGGUUGUGAACAAUGUUCUAGAGGUGAAAAGAGUCUCGUACAGGGCAUGAGCCUAACGUUAGAAAUCGAAGGGAUGAUGGUAAUUGUAGAAGAGAAGGAGAGAUUCUGCAGUGAGGUUGAUAAGGUCAUAGAGAGUAUACCCAGAGGAGAGAGGGUAGUGGUCGCAGCAGACUUCAAUGGGCAUGUUUUUGAGGGGAACAGAGGUGAUGAGGAGAAUGAAGAAAGCUGUGAGGCAGAAGUUGAGGCAGGCUCUGGGUGGUCAGGAAGACCUUCCAGAUGACUGGAAAACUACAGCAGAGGUUAUCAGGGAAACAGGUAGGAAAGUGCUUGGUUUUCUCUUGAAAAAGUCAGUUGGCUUACCAACUAGUUUUGGAUUUUUGGUUUCUAGAUGCCGUCCUAGUUUUGAAAAUUUUAAUGCUUCGCUGGAUAGCUUUAGAGCACAUGUGUCAAGCUCAGAUCCUCAAGGGCCGGUGUGUCAGUUGACUUUUCCAGCUUGUCAUUGACUGAACACACCUGGUCAAGGUUAUCAGUAGGAGCUGGGGCAGGGAGAGGUGAAAAAACAUCAGGGCGGCGGCCCUCGUUGGCAUCAGUUUGACACCCCUGCUUUAUACCAUAUUCAACACCUACACUUUGAGCUCUGGGAUCUGCCUCGCUAUUUCUUUUCAUAAAGCCAAACUUUAUACAAACAGGUUUGUAUUUGCACACCAAUUUAGCCUUGUAUAGAGGUCCGUACUACUGUCACCUUCAUUUGUUCAUUCCUCUCCAUCUUCAGCCAAACGUUUACAGCUGACUUAUUGUGCUGCUGCUUAUUGGAGCGUGUUAACACCUGACUGACACCUCAUUGCCAUCUAGUGAUGGGGAGAUGCAUUGUGGGGGCUUUGCGGCUCACAUUCGCAGAGCUUUCUUUUUCUUUCACUCUGUAUGAUUGUACUUUCAUUUUCCCCUUCCCAGUG